GUCUCUACUUGAAUGUUUUUUCUGCUUGUUUCCAAUUCAAUCACGACAGCACCACUGGUCAUGUCGUCUAUCCUAAAGAGGAAGUGUUUUUUUAAAUAAUGAUCUAAAGAAGUGAUCAGCCUCACGAAGAAGACAGACAAGGUUUGUUACCCACACCCAGGACAUAGAAACCUGCAAUGGAUUCAACGGCCCUUAGCCACCUACACUUUGUUUUCAUCCCCUUAAUGGCCCCUGGUCAUCUUCUCCCCAUGGUAGACAUGGCCAAAUUGUUGGCACAACGCCAAGUGAAAGUGAGCAUAGUGACCACACCCCUCAAUUCCAUCCAAUUCCAAGCUAGCAUAGACAAAGAGAUUCAAUCCGGCUCACCUAUUCAAAUUCUAAAUGUCCAAUUUCCAUGUGCGGAGGCUGGUCUACCAGAGGGAUGUGAGAGCGUAGACGCUUUGCCUUCAAUGGAUCUACUAAACAACUUCAACACCGCCUUAGACUUGUUGCAGCAGCCAUUACAAGAGCUACUUGAAAAGCAAAGACCCUUCCCAAGCUGCAUAAUUGCCGACCAAAAUAUCAUUUGUGUGUCUGAAGUUGCAAACCAGUUGCAUGUCCCAAUAAUAGUAUUUGACGGAACCAGUUGUUUCUUUCUACUAUGCAAAUACAAUUUACAUAAGGAUAAAGUCUAUGAAGCUGUGUCAGCUGAAGAGAAAUUUCUUAUCCCCGGAAUUCCCCAUAGAAUUGAACUGAAAAGAUCUCAACUCCCUGGGAUGUUCAAUCCCGGCACAGACCACGAGUUGAAUGCUCGACGCGAGAAAGUAUUGGAAGUUGCAGAAAAAUCAUAUGGGAUAGUGGUUAAUAGUUUCGAAGAGUUGGAAGCAGAGUAUGUUAAAAAGUAUAAAAGAUUUUUGGGUAAUAAAGUAUGGUGUGUUGGCCCUGUGUCGUUGUCCAAUAGGGAUGAUAUUGACAAGUCUCUAAGAAGUAGGAGAGACUUAAGUAAUGAGAAAGAACAUAUAAAGUGGCUAGAUUCAUGGUCUCCGAGGUCAGUGAUUUAUGUCUGCUUUGGUAGCCUAAACCGUGCAACACCAGAGCAGUUGAUAGAGCUUGGGAUAGGAUUGGAAGCGACUAAAAGGCCAUUCAUUUGGGUGCUUAGAGGUGCAUAUGGAAGAGAGAAGAUAGAGAAAUGGCUGGUGGAAGAUGGGUUUGAAGAAAGGGUGAAAGGGAGAGGGCUUUUGAUCAAGGGUUGGGUACCACAAUUGUUGAUCUUAUCACAUAGAGCAAUAGGAGUGUUCGUGACACAUUGUGGAUGGAAUUCCACACUCGAAGGGAUUUGUGCUGGCGUGCCAUUGGUAACUUUUCCUCUCUUUGCUGAACAGUUCCUCAAUGAGCAACUUGUUGGAGAAGUGUUGAAGAUUGGGGUGAGUGUGGGAGCUGAAUCUGUUGUGCAUUUGGGAGAGGAACAUGAGUCUCGGGUUCAGGUGACUAGAGAAAAUAUUAAGGAUUCUAUUGAGAACGUAAUGGGUGACGGCCAAGAAAAAGAAGAGAGAAGGGAAAGGGCUAGAAAGUAUGCAGAUAUGGCAAGGAAAGCAAUAGAACAAGGUGGCUCUUCUCACCGCAACAUGUCCCUACUAAUUGAUCACAUUGUGCAUGUCAAAGGGUUACACCAAAGCUAAGACACAAAUGGGUUCAUCCUUGUUUGUGUUGCUUUGUGUUGUAAGGUGGAAUACUUUUGGCUUGUUUUCCCAUCACCAAACAGCUAAAGGAGGUAAUUUGGUGGGUGGAAAGGUCAUAUAAAGAGAAGCUCGUAGCUACUGUUUUAUUUAAUUGAAUGUUUGUUCCUUUAUCUGUAUGAGAAUACAAGAAAUGGUAUGGUUGUGUCCCUGUUGGUUCACGAGACAGAGAAAGUAGCCACAUAAUCUGUGGGCAUAAUAUGCAAGACACGAUCCUGCUGGAUUCACAUUGAGAGCUACCAUGAACUGUGUUAGCAUUACCUUUUUGGAUAUGAAUUCCAAGCUGCAACGUGCGAGCACCUUGUGAUGCAGAUAUGCAUGAGUAUUUUACUAUUAUAAUAAAUGGUCUAGGGAGUUUAAGAUGAUGGGUUAUGUUGUUUAGGAGAUAAGCAUGUGAGAAAACAGAGAGAAAAUAACAAAUUGUUGCAGAAAUGACAUUUAUUCUCACCUCACAGUUUAAAGCUAAAACAAGAAUAUUUUCAGCGGAGUAUAAACAGAAUGGUGUUAGUACAUAUUUUUUUUGGACAAAAUAUUAUGAUUAUCUUUGUUCUAGAGUAUAUGAUAAAUCAAUAGGCAUAACUUUACUAAACCUUUGAAUUACCUUCCAUUUAUUUGCUGUUAGUUUUAACUUUGAUGGUUGUGUUGUGUCAAAGUUAACAUCCAUGUACAUGUGUUUUUUUAUCAGCAAAGUAUAUAUAUCGAUAUAUAUUGGAGC